rnacentral:rRNA from 1 species
GACGAACGCUGGCGGCGUGCUUAACACAUGCAAGUCGAACGGAAAGGCCCUGCUUUUGUGGGGUGCUCGAGUGGCGAACGGGUGAGUAACACGUGAGUAACCUGCCCUUGACUUUGGGAUAACUUCAGGAAACUGGGGCUAAUACCGGAUAGGAGCUCCUGCUGCAUGGUGGGGGUUGGAAAGUUUCGGCGGUUGGGGAUGGACUCGCGGCUUAUCAGCUUGUUGGUGGGGUAGUGGCUUACCAAGGCUUUGACGGGUAGCCGGCCUGAGAGGGUGACCGGCCACAUGGGGACUGAGAUACGGCCCAGAAUCCAACGGGAGGCAGCAGUGGGGAAUAUUGCACAAUGGGCGGAAGCCUGAUGCAGCAACGCCGCGUGCGGGAUGACGGCCUUCGGGUUGUAAACCGCUUUCGCCUGUGACGAAGCGGGAGUGACGGUAAUGGGUAAAGAAGCACCGGCUAACUACGUG